UGGGGAAUAUUGCACAAUGGGCGCAAGCCUGAUGCAGCCAUGCCGCGUGUGUGAAGAAGGCCUUCGGGUUGUAAAGCACUUUCAGCGGGGAGGAAGGCGAUAAGGUUAAUAACCUCAUCGAUUGACGUUACCUGCAGAAGAAGCACCGGCUAACUCCGUGCCAGCAGCCGCGGUAAUACGGAGGGUGCAAGCGUUAAUCGGAAUUACUGGGCGUAAAGCGCACGCAGGCGGUCUGUCAAGUCGGAUGUGAAAUCCCCGGGCUCAACCUGGGAACUGCAUUCGAAACUGGCAGGCUAGAGUCUUGUAGAGGGGGGUAGAAUUCCAGGUGUAGCGGUGAAAUGCGUAGAGAUCUGGAGGAAUACCGGUGGCGAAGGCGGCCCCCUGGACAAAGACUGACGCUCAGGUGCGAAAGCGUGGGGAGCAAACAGG
rnacentral:rRNA from 1 species